GCUGUGAGGCAUGCUGGAGGUAUCAGAAGUGCGAAUGCUGACAUAAGUAACGAUAAAGCGGGUGAAAAGCCCGCUCGCCGGAAGACCAAGGGUUCCUGUCCAACGUUAAUCGGGGCAGGGUGAGUCGACCCCUAAGGCGAGGCCGAAAGGCGUAGUCGAUGGGAAACAGGUUAAUAUUCCUGUACUUGGUGUUACUGCGAAGGGGGGACGGAGAAGGCUAUGUUAGCCGGGCGACGGUUGUCCCGGUUUAAGCAUGUAGGCUGGUUGUCCAGGCAAAUCCGGAUAAUCAAGGCUGAGGUGUGAUGACGAGGCACUACGGUGCUGAAGUAACAAAUGCCCUGCUUCCAGGAAAAGCCUCUAAGCAUCAGGUAACAUCAAAUCGUACCCCAAACCGACACAGGUGGUCAGGUAGAGAAUACCAAGGCGCUUGAGAGAACUCGGGUGAAGGAACUAGGCAAAAUGGUGCCGUAACUUCGGGAGAAGGCACGCUGGUGUGUAGGUGAAGUCCCUGCGGAUGGAGCUGAGACCAGUCGAAGAUACCAGCUGGCUGCAACUGUUUAUUAAAAACACAGCACUGUGCAAACACGAAAGUGGACGUAUACGGUGUGACGCCUGCCCGGUGCCGGAAGGUUAAUUGAUGGGGUUAUCCGUAAGGAGAAGCUCUUGAUCGAAGCCCCGGUAAACGGCGGCCGUAACUAUAACGGUCCUAAGGUAGCGAAAUUCCUUGUCGGGUAAGUUCCGACCUGCACGAAUGGCGUAAUGAUGGCCAGGCUGUCUCCACCCGAGACUCAGUGAAAUUGAACUCGCUGUGAAGAUGCAGUGUACCCGCGGCAAGACGGAAAGACCCCGUGAACCUUUACUAUAGCUUGACACUGAACAUUGAGCCUUGAUGUGUAGGAUAGGUGGGAGGCUUUGAAGCGUGGACGCCAGUCUGCGUGGAGCCAACCUUGAAAUACCACCCUUUAAUGUUUGAUGUUCUAACGUUGGCCCCUUACCGGGGUUGCGGACAGUGUCUGGUGGGUAGUUUGACUGGGGCGGUCUCCUCCCAAAGCGUAACGGAGGAGCACGAAGGUUAGCUAAUCCUGGUCGGACAUCAGGAGGUUAGUGCAAUGGCAUAAGCUAGCUUGACUGCGAGCGUGACGGCGCGAGCAGGUGCGAAAGCAGGUCAUAGUGAUCCGGUGGUUCUGAAUGGAAGGGCCAUCGCUCAACGGAUAAAAGGUACUCCGGGGAUAACAGGCUGAUACCGCCCAAGAGUUCAUAUCGACGGCGGUGUUUGGCACCUCGAUGUCGGCUCAUCACAUCCUGGGGCUGAAGUAGGUCCCAAGGGUAUGGCUGUUCGCCAUUUAAAGUGGUACGCGAGCUGGGUUUAGAACGUCGUGAGACAGUUCGGUCCCUAUCUGCCGUGGGCGCUGGAGAAUUGAGGGGGGCUGCUCCUAGUACGAGAGGACCGGAGUGGACGCAUCACUGGUGUUCGGGUUGUCAUGCCAAUGGCACUGCCCGGUAGCUAAAUGCGGAAGAGAUAAGUGCUGAA
rnacentral:rRNA from 1 species